CACCUCCCUCUGUCGAGGGGAUUCUCUGGUAGCUCAGCUGGUAAAGAAUCUGCCUCCAAUGGACGAGACCCAGGUUUGAUUCCUGGGUCGGGAAGAGCCGCUGGAGAAGGGAAAGCCUACCCACUCCAGUAUUCUGGCCUGGAGAAUNNNNNNNNNNNNNUAGUCCAUGGGGUCACAAAGAGUCAAACAUGACUGAGCAACUUUCACUUUCCUUUUGUGGGAGGUGGCCAGCUGCUGACAGUCAUUCAAAAAUUGAAGGAAGGCUUUUCUAUCAGGAAACUGGACACUGCUUUAGAGAAGCAGGGAGCAGUGCUGGGCUGGGAAAGUGUUUCAGAGAAGGAGAGAAGGGUGAGGGCUGUGCCAGCCACUGAUGCAUGCUCCUCUGGCCCCUGACCACCCUCAAGCCCAUGGAGACCACGUUCCCCUGGCCUAAUCCUGCCCCCCUUCAUUUAGGGCAGCCCUAUUUGGGAAGAACUCGGAGCAACUGACAAACAGCAGUUUAGGCCUGGAGCUGGAAGGAUCGGGCGGUGGGGAGACGAGUUGAAAGUCCCACGUGACUUCAGUUUUGGGGUGAGGAAACUGAAGCCCAGAGGGCAAGCCCAGCGUUUGACCCUCACCAGCUAAUGCUGUGAAAUGAACACCAGUCCCCACCUCCCCCUGGACGGCAGACAGCCUAGGGUCUUACAGGGCGGAUACUGCUACCCCCCCAGUUCCAGCUUCACAGAGAAGAAAACCGAGCUCACCAGCCAUUCUGACCAGUGGCAGGUGGUACCCUAUUGUAGCUUUGAUUUGCAUUUCUCUAGUAACUACCGGCCAUGAGCAUCUUUUCACGUGCCUCUUGGCCAUCUGUAUGUCGUCUUUGGAGAAAUGUCUGUUUAGAUCUUAUGCUCAUUGUUUGGCUGGGCUGUUUGUCUUUUGUUAUCGAGUUGUAUGAACUGUUGGUAUAUUUUAGAAAUUAAGCCCUGUUGGCCACAUCAUUUGCAAAUAUUGAUAAUUCCUCUGAAUCUGUAAAUAGUCUUUUCGUUUUGUUUAUAAUCUCCUUUGUGGAAAAACUUAUAAGUUUGAUUAGUCUCAUUUGUUCAUUUUCGCUUUUGUUUCUGUUGCCUUGGGAGACUGACCUAAGAAAACAUUGCCGUGAUUUGUCAGAGGAUGUUUUGUCUAUGUUCUAGGUGUUCUACGGUGUUCUGUCUUAUGCUUAAGGCUUAAAGCCAUUUUGAAUAUAUUUUUGUUUAUAUCAGAAGCACUGGGUUGCUUCUGCCUUUUAGCUGUCGUGAAUACUGCUGCUAUAAACUGGCCCUGCAGCCUGCCUGACAGCGGAAAGAACUUGUUCCAUAAAGAGAAGCAUGUCAGUGGGUUGCACUGAAGGUGUUCUCCGGGAUGGAAGGAACAAUAUACUGUACUAAUGUGUUUGCAACAGGAUAAAGGGGUGCCCUGCGACAAGGGGGUGCUUUCACCCAGUGAAAUGCACUGACUUGAAAAGACAUAUUCCAUAAGUAGACGGAACCUAACUAACAUGGCCUCAGCAGCCCUGCUCGAUGCCUUUGCCACACCUUAUUCUAGGGUUAUGCUGGUUGAGGUGAGACAGUAUUUAUAUAAAUGAACAUUUACUAUGAUUUCCACACCGAUUUUUUGUGAAAGUGUUAGUUGCUCAAUCGUGUCAGAUACUCUGUGACCCCAUGGAUGCAGAGUAACCUGCCAGCUUCCUCUGUCCAUGGGAUUUCCCAGGUGAGAAUACUGGAGUGGGUGGCUAGUCCCUUCUCCAAGGGAAUCUUUCCAAUCCAGGGAUCGAACCUGCAUUGUCAGGUAGAUACUUUACUAAGUCACUAGGGAAGCCCCCAGGUGUUAAUUCUUGCCUUCCUGACCUGUGUAUGUUCCUAGAGUCAGGGUCUGUGUACCAGUUGUCUAGGCACCACCUAGUAACCAUUUGGGGAAAAACCAAAAAUAGUGGGAGUUCCAAAAAAAAAAGAGUUCUCAACUGCGAUUAAAACUAAACUAAAAAGUAGAGGAAUGGAGUUUCUAGGGCACUGAAACUAUUCUGUAUAAUACAGUAAUGAUGGACAUAUGUCCAGUAAAGGACAGAAAUGGUAGGGACCUAACAGAAGCAGAAGAUAUUAAG
ensembl:lncRNA